GGUCAAGUGAAGAAGCGCAUACGGUGGAUGCCUUGGCAGUCAGAGGCGAUGAAAGACGUGGUAGCCUGCGAAAAGCUUCGGGGAGUCGGCAAACAGACUUUGAUCCGGAGAUCUCUGAAUGGGGGAACCCACCUAGGAUAACCUAGGUAUCUUGUACUGAAUCCAUAGGUGCAAGAGGCGAACCAGGGGAACUGAAACAUCUAAGUACCCUGAGGAAAAGAAAUCAACCGAGAUUCCCUUAGUAGUGGCGAGCGAACGGGGAUUAGCCCUUAAGCUUCAUUGAUUUUAGCGGAACGCUCUGGAAAGUGCGGCCAUAGUGGGUGAUAGCCCCGUACGCGAAAGGAUCUUUGAAGUGAAAUCGAGUAGGACGGAGCACGAGAAACUUUGUCUGAACAUGGGGGGACCAUCCUCCAAGGCUAAAUACUACUGACUGACCGAUAGUGAACCAGUACCGUGAGGGAAAGGCGAAAAGAACCCCGGAGAGGGGAGUGAAAUAGAACCUGAAACCGUAUGCGUACAAGCAGUGGGAGCCUACUUGUUAGGUGACUGCGUACCUUUUGUAUAAUGGGUCAGCGACUUAUAUUCAGUGGCAAGCUUAACCGUAUAGGGUAGGCGUAGCGAAAGCGAGUCUUAAUAGGGCGUUUAGUCGCUGGGUAUAGACCCGAAACCGGGCGAUCUAUCCAUGAGCAGGUUGAAGGUUAGGUAACACUGACUGGAGGACCGAACCCACUCCCGUUGAAAAGGUAGGGGAUGACUUGUGGAUCGGAGUGAAAGGCUAAUCAAGCUCGGAGAUAGCUGGUUCUCCUCGAAAGCUAUUUAGGUAGCGCCUCAUGUAUCACUCUGGGGGGUAGAGCACUGUUUCGGCUAGGGGGGUCAUCCCGACUUACCAAACCGAUGCAAACUCCGAAUACCCAGAAGUGCCGAGCAUGGGAGACACACGGCGGGUGCUAACGUCCGUCGUGAAAAGGGAAACAACCCAGACCGCCAGCUAAGGUCCCAAAGUUGUGGUUAAGUGGUAAACGAUGUGGGAAGGCUUAGACAGCUAGGAGGUUGGCUUAGAAGCAGCCAUCCUUUAAAGAAAGCGUAAUAGCUCACUAGUCGAGUCGGCCUGCGCGGAAGAUGUAACGGGGCUCAAACCACACACCGAAGCUGCGGGUGUCACGUAAGUGACGCGGUAGAGGAGCGUUCUGUAAGCCUGUGAAGGUGAGUUGAGAAGCUUGCUGGAGGUAUCAGAAGUGCGAAUGCUGACAUGAGUAACGACAAUGGGUGUGAAAAACACCCACGCCGAAAGACCAAGGGUUCCUGCGCAACGUUAAUCGACGCAGGGUUAGUCGGUUCCUAAGGCGAGGCUGAAAAGCGUAGUCGAUGGGAAACAGGUUAAUAUUCCUGUACUUCUGGUUACUGCGAUGGAGGGACGGAGAAGGCUAGGCCAGCUUGGCGUUGGUUGUCCAAGUUUAAGGUGGUAGGCUGAAAUCUUAGGUAAAUCCGGGGUUUCAAGGCCGAGAGCUGAUGACGAGUCGUCUUUUAGAUGACGAAGUGGUUGAUGCCAUGCUUCCAAGAAAAGCUUCUAAGCUUCAGGUAACCAGGAACCGUACCCCAAACCGACACAGGUGGUCGGGUAGAGAAUACCAAGGCGCUUGAGAGAACUCGGGUGAAGGAACUAGGCAAAAUGGCACCGUAACUUCGGGAGAAGGUGCGCCGGCUAGGGUGAAGGAUUUACUCCGUAAGCUCUGGCUGGUCGAAGAUACCAGGCCGCUGCGACUGUUUAUUAAAAACACAGCACUCUGCAAACACGAAAGUGGACGUAUAGGGUGUGACGCCUGCCCGGUGCCGGAAGGUUAAUUGAUGGGGUUAGCGCAAGCGAAGCUCUUGAUCGAAGCCCCGGUAAACGGCGGCCGUAACUAUAACGGUCCUAAGGUAGCGAAAUUCCUUGUCGGGUAAGUUCCGACCUGCACGAAUGGCGUAACGAUGGCGGCGCUGUCUCCACCCGAGACUCAGUGAAAUUGAAAUCGCUGUGAAGAUGCAGUGUAUCCGCGGCUAGACGGCAAGACCCCGUGAACCUUUACUGUAGCUUUGCACUGGACUUUGAGCCUGCUUGUGUAGGAUAGGUGGGAGGCUUUGAAGCGUGGACGCCAGUUCGCGUGGAGCCAUCCUUGAAAUACCACCCUGGCAUGCUUGAGGUUCUAACUCUGGUCCGUAAUCCGGAUCGAGGACAGUGUAUGGUGGGCAGUUUGACUGGGGCGGUCUCCUCCUAAAGAGUAACGGAGGAGUACGAAGGUGCGCUCAGACCGGUCGGAAAUCGGUCGCAGAGUAUAAAGGCAAAAGCGCGCUUGACUGCGAGACAGACACGUCGAGCAGGUACGAAAGUAGGUCUUAGUGAUCCGGUGGUUCUGUAUGGAAGGGCCAUCGCUCAACGGAUAAAAGGUACUCCGGGGAUAACAGGCUGAUACCGCCCAAGAGUUCAUAUCGACGGCGGUGUUUGGCACCUCGAUGUCGGCUCAUCACAUCCUGGGGCUGAAGCCGGUCCCAAGGGUAUGGCUGUUCGCCAUUUAAAGUGGUACGCGAGCUGGGUUUAGAACGUCGUGAGACAGUUCGGUCCCUAUCUGCCGUGGACGUUUGAGAUUUGAGAGGGGCUGCUCCUAGUACGAGAGGACCGGAGUGGACGAACCUCUGGUGUUCCGGUUGUCACGCCAGUGGCAUUGCCGGGUAGCUAUGUUCGGAAAAGAUAACCGCUGAAAGCAUCUAAGCGGGAAACUUGCCUCAAGAUGAGAUCUCACUGGGAACUUGAUUCCCCUGAAGGGCCGUCGAAGACUACGACGUUGAUAGGCUGGGUGUGUAAGCGUUGUGAGGCGUUGAGCUAACCAGUACUAAUUGCCCGUGAGGCUUGACCAU
rnacentral:rRNA from 1 species